UGCAAAUGCUGUAGUUGACAUAGUUGUGGAUAUUCCAGGUGGGAUAACACAAUGGGUUUUCUGCCUCGCACUGGGACAUGGACGUGUUGCUUUUGGCUGUACAAAUGCCUGUUUCAUUUGUGCUGCACAGUGAGCAGUGCCUGUGCACACUGUGGAAUCUGGUUCACCCCGUGUCAGUUUGUCUUCGAACGGGGAUACUCUUGUGUUUGUUACUGUGUGGAGCAGACAGGAAAUGGAGCACUAUGCUUUGGAGGAAAGGACAGACAUACACUGCAUUUAUGGAGUGGUGGAUGGAAAUGCUCAUACUGCCCAACAUUUGUACGUUUGGUGGUUUCCAAAUCAUCGAGUGCAAGAUAUAUGUACAUCUACUGCCACCCACAGGUUCCUAAGAGAGACACAUUCAUUUGAGGUGUGAAGGCCUGGCAGAUGCAGUCAUCAGUGUACAGUGCAUACACCAGAGCUCGCAGAGGAGCGCUAGCACUGCUGGAAAACACACCCUCAAUAAGCUCACAGUGUGUUGCAUGGGAAAUGGGUGUAAGCCAUUCUACCAUUUGGCAUACGCGGCAUGAAGAUGGUUUGCACCUCUGCUGUCUUUGGAAGGUUCAAGCCCUUAACCCAGAUGAUUUUCAAUGUUGAAUUGAAUUCUGUCCAUGGUUUUUGCAAAGGUGUGACAUUUGACCAGACUUUUUGAACUGUUUACAUUUCACGGAUGAGGCAUCCCUUACACGAGAGGGUGUGUUCAACAGCUGUGAUCAACAUAUGUAGGCCCAGGAAAAUCUACACACCACCUUUGUUUGUGGUCACCAAGAUGGCUUUGCUGUCAACAUUUGGGCUGGCUAGAGUAUCCAUCAAUGUGCCUGCUGCAGUCACCACAGAUGUGUACUGCAGAGAGAUCAGCAAUGCGAGUUGCCAAAUCCACUGCAAGGUCUGGCCGACGCAAGAGUGUUUACAAGCAAGUAGCACAGUUGACAACAAGCACAUAGGUGUGGCCAACAUCCGUAAGAGGGCAUCAACCAGCAGCAAAGAAAGGGGAUGUGAUAAUCAGCGAACUGUUUCCUUGCGAUCAUAUGUGUUCAAGUAGUCCUGUAAAUACCCUUCUGCCCAGGGCUAGAUAAUCCGGCGCCCAGCCAUUCAGCAGGCAGUUCUCGAUUCGCUGAGUGUGGAGUAGAUUGGCCGGUCCAGUGGUGUGCCGCCUCGACCAUCCUCUCUUCCGCAAUGAUUGUGAUAAGUUGCUUCUGUUGUAUUAGACCAUCUACCAGCUGCUAACAGCCACUCUGAUGGGAACAGUUGUAUGGGUAUAGAGUCAAAGAGAACUCUGAUUAUAGGAAUUAGUUGUUAUUUACUUGAUCCGCAGAAGGGAUCCUUAUUGCUUUUUAGUUUUGAAGUGUGUUUUACUGUUGGUGGUAGUUUCCUUCAUAAAAAAAAGGGUUGGCAAAAUGA